GAAUAUUGGACAAUGGGCGAAAGCCUGAUCCAGCCAUGCCGCGUGUGUGAAGAAGGUCUUCGGAUUGUAAAGCACUUUAAGUUGGGAGGAAGGGUAGUAACUUAAUACGUUGCUACUUUGACGUUACCGACAGAAUAAGCACCGGCUAACUUCGUGCCAGCAGCCGCGGUAAUACGAAGGGUGCAAGCGUUAAUCGGAAUUACUGGGCGUAAAGCGCGCGUAGGUGGUUCAGUAAGUUGGAUGUGAAAUCCCCGGGCUCAACCUGGGAACUGCAUCCAAAACUGCUGAGCUAGAGUACGGUAGAGGGUAGUGGAAUUUCCUGUGUAGCGGUGAAAUGCGUAGAUAUAGGAAGGAACACCGAUGGCGAAGGCAGCCCCCUGGGCCGAUGCUGACGCUCAUGCACGAAAGCGUGGGGAGCAAACAGG
rnacentral:rRNA from 1 species